rnacentral:lncRNA from 1 species
AGAGAAGUUGUAUACAGAGCUUGUGUCAUAGAUAUAGCAGAUAGGAAAUUGAGUGUGGACCUAAUAGAAUUAGAUAUGGGGGACUUUGAUGUAAUUCUAGGAAUGAACUAGCUAGCGGCAUAUCACGCCACCGUAGAUUGUUUUAGCAAGAAGGUUGUAUUUAAUCCUCAUAAUGAGGAGCCAUUUAUAAAUUAAUAAAAAUCAUUUAGCAUUUAUUCUCUCACAGUAAAUUUUCUUAUUAUCGAGUACUUUAACCCUCCUGUUUUCUCUAACUAGGCAAACUCAUGAAAGAGA